GAUGAACGCUAGCGGCAGGCCUAAUACAUGCAAGUCGAGGGGUAGAAGAGGCUUGCUUCUUUGAGACCGGCGCACGGGUGCGUAACGCGUAUGCAACCUACCUUCAUCUGGGGGAUAACCCGGAGAAAUCCGGAUUAAUACCGCAUAAAAUCACAGGAUGGCAUUAUCCAAUGAUCAAACAUUUAUGGGAUGGAGAUGGGCAUGCGUGUCAUUAGCUAGUUGGCGGGGUAACGGCCCACCAAGGCGACGAUGACUAGGGGAUCUGAGAGGAUGGCCCCCCACACUGGUACUGAGACACGGACCAGACUCCUACGGGAGGCAGCAGUAAGGAAUAUUGGUCAAUAGAGGCAACUCUGAACCAGCCAUGCCGCGUGCAGGAAGACUGCCCUAUGGGUUGUAAACUGCUUUUAUUCGGGAAUAAACCUUAUUACGUGUAAUAAGCUGAAUGUACCGAAGGAAUAAGGAUCGGCUAACUCCGUGCCAGCAGCCGCGGUAA
rnacentral:rRNA from 1 species